ACCCGCUGAAUUUAAGCAUAUCACUAAGCGGAGGAAAAGAAAUUAACUAAGAUUGCCCCAGUAACGGCGAGUGAAGCGGCAAAAGCCCAAACUGGUAAUCUUCACGUUUCACGUGACGAGUUGUAAACUCCAGGUGGGACGCUCAACUGGUAGUGAUGCAGAAGUUCCCUAGAAUGGGACGCCAAAGAGGGUGACAGCCCCGUAUGUGGUGUCGCUACCAAACGAGCGCCUUUCGAAGAGUCGGGUUGUUUUGAAUUGCAGCCCUAAUUGGGAGAUAGACUUCUUCUAAGGCUAAAUAUCUAUGGGAAACCGAUAGCAAACAAGUACUGUGAAGGAAAGAUGAAAAGAACUUUGAAAAGAGAGUCAAAAGACUUGAAAUCGUUGAGAAGGAAGCGGUAGAAAUUUAUUCUUCGGCCGUGAACGAAGGUCGUCACCUAACUAUUGCAGGCCUGAGUACUUAAUCGGCUUUGGUUUGCACUUGGGGAAGUGAUUGCUGGGUUCUAGGUCGAGAGGCAAAAUGGGGUUUCUGGUCUACAAAAGCUUGGGAGAUCUGGCGGGGUUCGCCUUGCAAUCUCCCUCUGCUCGUAGAUCAGGAGCCUGAGGGUGCUUUGUGCGAUUUUGCUAAAAUGGUUUUUACCGACCCGUCUCGAAACACGGACCAAGGAGUCUAACAUAUAUGCGAGUGUGCUGGUGGAAAAACCAACACGCGUAAUGAAAGUAAAAGAUGCCAAGCUCUGCAGCAGCAUCGACCGACCAUGAUUCUCUGAAGAAAGGUUUGAGUAUGAGCAUAUAUGCUAGGACCCGAAAGAUGGUGAACUAUGCCUGAGUAGGGUGAAGCCAGGGGAAACUCUGGUGGAAGCUCGCAGCGAUUCUGACGUGCAAAUCGAUCGUCAAACUUGGGUAUAGGGGCGAAAGACUAAUCGAACCAUCUAGUAGCUGGUUCCCUCCGAAGUUUCCCUUAGGAUAGCUGGGACAAUAACGCAGUUUUAUCAGGUAAAGCGAAUGAUUAGAGGUAUCUGGGAUAACCUUUCCUGGACCUAUUCUCAAACUUUAAAUUGGUAAGAACCUUGGCCUUUCUUAAUUGAGGCACAGGGGAUCAAUGCUUGUCCCUAGUGGGCCAUUUUUGGUAAGCAGAACUGGCGAUGAGGGUUGCUCCUAACGUUGAGUUAAGGUGCCUAACUACACGCUCAUCAGAUCCUACAAAGGGUGUUGGUUCAUCUAGACAGCAGGACGGUGGCCAUGGAAGUCGGAACCCGCUAAGGAGUGUGUAACAACUCACCUGCCGAAUGGACUAGCCCCGAAAAUCGAUGGCGCUAAAGCGUGUGACCAAUACUCAACCAUUGUGGCGAGAGUGAGGCUGCAAUGAGUAGGAGGGCGUGAACGUUGUUAAGAAGCCCCUGGCGUGAGCCUAGGUUGAACAGCGUUUAGUGCAGAUCUUGGUGGUAGUAGCAAUUAUUCAAAUGAGAACUUUGAAGGCCGACGUGGAGAAGGCUUCCGUGAGAACAGCAAUUGGUCACGGGUGACUCGAUCCUAAGACAUGGGGGAAAUCCUUGUUAAGUGCACCGUAUGGUGCGUAGUCGAAAGGGAAUGAGGUUAAUAUUCCUCAAGCUGGAUGUGGGUGUUGUAUGGCAACAUAAAUGAGCUCAGAGACACCAGUAUGAGCCUCUGAAAGAGUUUUCUUUUCUUUUUAACAGGCUAGUGACCUUGAAAUUGGAUUAGCCAGAGAUAAGGUGGCAUGCCUGGAAGAGCACCUUGCUUUUCGAGGUGUCAGGUGCGCUCAUAAUGGUCCUUGAAAAUCUGAGUGAGAUAGCUUCACACCAGGUCGUACCCAUAACCGCAUCAGGUCUCCAAGGUU
rnacentral:rRNA from 1 species